UAGGGAAUCUUCCACAAUGGACGCAAGUCUGAUGGAGCAACGCCGCGUGAGUGAAGAAGGUUUUCGGACCGUAAAGCUCUGUUGUUGGUGAAGAAGGAUAGAGGUAGUAACUGGCCUUUAUUUGACGGUAAUCAACCAGAAAGUCACGGCUAACUACGUGCCAGCAGCCGCGGUAAUACGUAGGUGGCAAGCGUUGUCCGGAUUUAUUGGGCGUAAAGCGAGCGCAGGCGGAAGAAUAAGUCUGAUGUGAAAGCCCUCGGCUUAACCGAGGAAUUGCAUCGGAAACUGUUUUUCUUGAGUGCAGAAGAGGAGAGUAGAACUCCAUGUGUAGCGGUGGAAUGCGUAGAUAUAUGGAAGAAUACCAGUGGCGAAGGCGGCUCUCUGGUCUGCAACUGACGCUGAGGCUCGAAAGCAUGGGUAGCGAACAGGAUUAGAUACCCUGGUAGUCCAUGCCGUAAACGAUGAGUGCUAGGUGUUGGAUCCUUUUCCGGGAUUCAGU
rnacentral:rRNA from 1 species